CUCAGCUCCAAAUACAAUAUCCGU
rnacentral:siRNA from 1 species